rnacentral:rRNA from 1 species
UGCAGUCGACGCUUUGUGGUUCAACUGAUUUGAAGAGCUUGCUCAGAUAUGACGAUGGACAUUGCAAAGAGUGGCGAACGGGUGAGUAACACGUGGGAAACCUACCUCUUAGCAGGGGAUAACAUUUGGAAACAGAUGCUAAUACCGUAUAACAAUAGCAACCGCAUGGUUGCUACUUAAAAGAUGGUUCUGCUAUCACUAAGAGAUGGUCCCGCGGUGCAUUAGUUAGUUGGUGAGGUAAUGGCUCACCAAGACGAUGAUGCAUAGCCGAGUUGAGAGACUGAUCGGCCACAAUGGGACUGAGACACGGCCCAUACUCCUACGGGAGGCAGCAGUAGGGAAUCUUCCACAAUGGGCGAAAGCCUGAUGGAGCAACGCCGCGUGUGUGAUGAAGGGUUUCGGCUCGUAAAACACUGUUGUAAGAGAAGAAUGACAUUGAGAGUAACUGUUCAAUGUGUGACGGUAUCUUACCAGAAAGGAACGGCUAAAUACGUGCCAGCAGCCGCGGUAAUACGUAUGUUCCAAGCGUUAUCCGGAUUUAUUGGGCGUAAAGCGAGCGCAGACGGUUAUUUAAGUCUGAAGUGAAAGCCCUCAGCUCAACUGAGGAAUUGCUUUGGAAACUGGAUGACUUGAGUGCAGUAGAGGAAAGUGGAACUCCAUGUGUAGCGGUGAAAUGCGUAGAUAUAUGGAAGAACACCAGUGGCGAAGGCGGCUUUCUGGACUGUAACUGACGUUGAGGCUCGAAAGUGUGGGUAGCAAACAGGAUUAGAUACCCUGGUAGUCCACACCGUAAACGAUGA